GGUGGAAAGCGUGGGGAGCAAACAGGAUUAGAUACCCCUGGUAGUCCACGCCGUAAACGAUGUCGACUUGGAGGUUGUGCCCUUGAGGCGUGGCUUCCGGAGCUAACGCGUUAAGUCGACCGCCUGGGGAGUACGGCCGCAAGGUUAAAACUCAAAUGAAUUGACGGGGGCCCGCACAAGCGGUGGAGCAUGUGGUUUAAUUCGAUGCAACGCGAAGAACCUUACCUACUCUUGACAUCCAGAGAACUUAGCAGAGAUGCUUUGGUGCCUUCGGGAACUCUGAGACAGGUGCUGCAUGGCUGUCGUCAGCUCGUGUUGUGAAAUGUUGGGUUAAGUCCCGCAACGAGCGCAACCCUUAUCCUUUGUUGCCAGCGGUUAGGCCGGGAACUCAAAGGAGACUGCCAGUGAUAAACUGGAGGAAGGUGGGGAUGACGUCAAGUCAUCAUGGCCCUUACGAGUAGGGCUACACACGUGCUACAAUGGCGCAUACAAAGAGAAGCGACCUCGCGAGAGCAAGCGGACCUCAUAAAGUGCGUCGUAGUCCGGAUUGGAGUCUGCAACUCGACUCCAUGAAGUCGGAAUCGCUAGUA
rnacentral:rRNA from 1 species